CCAAUCCCAAUGCACAUGUUCCAGCCGCCAUCAUCCCAACUUCGGCGCCAUCUCAUGGCACCUCGACGACGGUGAGGCAUCCGAUCUGGCGCGCACCCAAAUGAGGUGGCGGCAGAUCAACAUCGAUGGUGUGGUUUGCAUCUGGUCAUCAGGAGAGGCGAGGAGACGCGGAUCCAGAAGGCAGGCCAUGGCGGCGGCCAGAUCCAUGCCGGGACAGGAUCUGCGUCUGGAGAACCAUACCAUGGAGGGAGGAGACCCACGCCAUGGAGCUGCUCGUCAAGGAGAGGCCCGACCCAUUCCUUUCCCUUUCCUAGUGAGUGCUCGUCAAGGUCUUUGAUUUCCUUUCCUGAUGCGAGUUCAUUUGAUAUGUUAUUCUUCCUCUUCCUCAUGCAGGUGCACACACAUGUGGGUCAACAAGGGGCAAGACCGACAGACCAGCAGCACCAUGCACACAUUCAAGACUAGUAGCUGUCGAUGCCUUGGAAGGUCCACUCCAAAUUUCUCAACUCUCUGUUUGGUCCCGUCUGGUCCUAGGCUACAUCAGUUUUGUGAUGGAAACCACAUAAUUAAGAACUUCUGCUUGUCGAGAUUUCGGUUUUGUGAUGCUUUUGUGUGUGUUUUCUGUUGGCAAAAUCAGAAACUGACGUUGUAACCAUGAUUUGGCAGAUGGACAUGCAGAUGUGGAAUAGCACCACCCUAGUAUGGUUGUAACUCCAGCGACUCAGCGGGAUAUACGAUGCUGUUUCACUCCCCCAUCAUGUGAUUGGCAGCUCACAGGAGCCAUCUAACUUCUUGUAAGAUGAUGAAGGUAUUCAAGUACUCCGGGUUCCUCUUUUUUUUGCGUCUUGGUGGAAGCCAUUCGGUACCAUAGAAGACGCUGAAGCUAUCGCUGUGCUUGUUCUUUUUUUCGGUUGUUCCUAUAGUUGACCUUAUGUGCGUGUUUCUGUACGGGUAGUCGGGUUACUUGUGAGUCUAUGAUGGUUUUCUCUUGUGCAAAGACGCCAUUUAAUUACAUUGUUGUGCAGAUAGUGUAUUCCCAAAUCAGUCACACUUUUGUAUAUAUCCAAUUAUUUACGUAACUGAAUCUUUGUGCAUGACUAUGAUACUCAAACCCAUAUUUGGCUACCACUGUAUAGUUUCUAUCUGAUUAAUCACAUAUCAAUUAGCUUUGAUGGUAUUCAUUAUGUGCCCGUUGUUGAGAUGUAUGUAAUCUUGAUGAGAAUUCAGGUCCAGUCUGUUACAUGUUUUAGAAAUACAGUAGAAAACAUGAAAGAAAUUGGGGGAAAAAUAAUCCGGGUGUCGGGUUCCUUUCACGUAAUUCAACGAACAUCCUGUUAUGCAAUCUUUGUUUUUUCCUUGCUAUGUAGUAUAUGAGAGGGAAAGUAGUGGCUGUAGAAAAACUGUACUGUUGAUAUGAGAUAUUAUUGGGGCAUAAUACAAUCAAAUUUUUUGUAUUAAUCAGCAACGUACAUAAAUAUAACGAUGUUUUAAUGGCAAUUAUUUUUCUCUUCAUAUUAGGAUUAAAAAUAUGCAGACACGUAAUAGCAAUCUACAACUCUAGAGAGUCAUGUUAAUCCUUUUUAUACAGGAGUAAGUGGGCAUGUACAGGAGUCGAGGGGGAUUUUCUUUCCUAAUUUCUUAUUUUGAGGAAGAGUUGCCGCUCCUUUUAUACGUGAUUGUUUUCCCUUUCAAUUGACAUCAAAUGAAUCUGUUUUUUUUUAUUAUCGGUGUAGGUUUUAUGUAAGGAAGCUACCUUUUUGUUAUAUAGCUAGCGAACCCAUGGAUGAUUUCCUUCUUCACUUUCACAAACUGUACGUGUGGGUCUUUUUUUGGCCGGGCCAUCUAUAUCGUAGAAGUUUCAGUCGGGAGGAGUCCUGGGAGAGACAUUUUCCCUUUAUUUUACUUGUUCAUUUUUAUUUUUAAUCGGGAAAAGAAAGAUUUUACUGAUUGACUUUCAUGGGUAAUAAAAAUAGAUAUGUGGUUUUUUUUCACUGGCCAUACCUGUUACUAAAAUUAUCUACAUCUUGUCAUGUGGAGCUCAUCUACAAAAUUUUGUGGAUACAAAAGGUAUUAGUAUAUGAUAUGUUCUGUACUUAGUUACAUCUUCCUUGUGUCCUCAUGGCUGCUCGAAACUUCUGUUCCAAUAGUUGAGUAUUGUAUUGCUAUGUAUUCCUGUUGAUGGCUUUACUAAGAAUCAAAAAUAAAUUUUGGGAUAUUGAAACAUAAAACCCAGCCAACCUGUCUCUUCUACAGUCUUUUGAUUUUAGUUCGGCAACCUACUUGUAUGCUUAAUUAAUCAUAUGUUGCUAUUUACUGGAGCAGUGUGAGAAUUUACUAUUAUUUUGAGUUUAAUUCUUAUUAUAUGAAUAUGAACCACUUGUCAUGGCAGCACUACUUGAAGUACACGCCUUGCAAUAACUAGCAUGGUAGCCCAAUGACGCUCUUUUUGUAGGAGAUUCUGUUUUACAAUGUCUUCUCGUCUAAUAUAAUUUUAUGCUUAUGAAAAUGUAAAGCAUGUUUUGGGUGUUUUAUACUUGUAGAGAAGAGGUAAUAUGGAAUUUUGUUUUCUCAAGAUACGAGUGAAAUCAUGGGCUUGAAAACUAGCGACAACUAUUUAAUUCUAGUUCAUAGUUUAUGUUCAUGCUUAGUGGAGUAAUUACGUGAGUUACUAAGUGGCUGAUUUAAGUUGGAUUGAUUUUCUGCGUUCUUUACUUGCCGUGGAUAUUCUUGGUUUCUCGCAUAAGCAUGCUGAUAUGUAUGAUAUGUCCAUUCCUUUUGUUUGUCUCUUCUUUUUUUUUUGAGCUCAAUAUUUUUCAUCUAACUUGUUCUCUGUUUGUUUUUUAAAUGUGCACAGAUUUUCUACUGAAAAGCAGAAUGUUGCUUUGCUUCAUGACAAGUACUAUAGUUCAUGCUCGAGAAAAAGAGGCAAGCCUGAGUUGAUGCGAGAGGAGCUUGUGGAGGCCAAGGAGAAAUACGCAGAGUAUCAGUUGUUACUUAAAAGAGUUGGUGCCAUGUUAUGUUACUAUUCUAUAAUUAUAAUAAGUUACUUGUGGACAAUGUGGACAAGGUCCAUUUUAUGAACAUGGUGUAAUGGUACAAAGUAACUAGUUGUUUUUUCUGGUUGGGACAUCUUAUG
rnacentral:lncRNA from 1 species